rfam:Oryza punctata chromosome 7, whole genome shotgun sequence.
UACUAGUGUAGUUUUGUACUGUUCAUAUUCAACGUUUGACCAUUCAUCUUAUUUAAAAAUUUUUUAUGAUUAAUAUUUUUAUUGUUAUUAGAUGAUAAAACAUGAAUAGUAUUUUAUGUAUGACUAAUUUUUUUAUAAAUUUUUUAAAUAAGACGGACGAUUAAACGUUGGACACAUAUAUCUAUGGCUACACUUAAA